rnacentral:rRNA from 1 species
CAGCCGCCGCGGGAAUACGUAGGUGGCAAGCGUUAUCCGGAAUUAUUGGGCGUAAAGCGCGCGUAGGCGGUUUUUUAAGUCUGAUGUGAAAGCCCACGGCUCAACCGUGGAGGGUCAUUGGAAACUGGAAAACUUGAGUGCAGAAGAGGAAAGUGGAAUUCCAUGUGUAGCGGUGAAAUGCGCAGAGAUAUGGAGGAACACCAGUGGCGAAGGCGACUUUCUGGUCUGUAACUGACGCUGAUGUGCGAAAGCGUGGGGAUCAAACAGGAUUAGAUACCCGAGUAGUCCCUGUCUCUUAUAC